rnacentral:rRNA from 1 species
UACGUAGGGGGCGAGCGUUGUCCGGAAUUAUUGGGCGUAAAGAGCGUGUAGGCGGUUCGGUAAGUCUGCCGUGAAAACCUGGGGCUCAACCCUGGGCGUGCGGUGGAUACUGCCGGGCUAGAGGGUGGUAGAGGCGAGUGGAAUUCCCGGUGUAGCGGUGAAAUGCGCAGAUAUUGGGAGGAACACCAGUAGCGAAGGCGGCUCGCUGGGCCAUUCCUGACGCUGAGACGCGAAAAGCUAGGGGGAGCGAAACAGG